UACGAAGGGGGCUAGCGUUGCUCGGAAUCACUGGGCGUAAAGCGCACGUAGGCGGACUCUUAAGUCGGGGGUGAAAUCCUGGAGCUCAACUCCAGAACUGCCUUCGAUACUGGGAGUCUUGAGUUCGGGAGAGGUGAGUGGAACUGCGAGUGUAGAGGUGAAAUUCGUAGAUAUUCGCAAGAACACCAGUGGCGAAGGCGGCUCACUGGCCCGAUACUGACGCUGAGGAACGAAAGCCAGGGGAGCGAACGGG
rnacentral:rRNA from 1 species